UGAUAAACUGGAUGAGGAAUUAGAGUGGAGACCCAGGAUUUCGUCUGAAGAAAGAGAAGAAUGCAAGUAAAAUGUCGUCAAGGGUCGUGAAAAUGUGUUGCAUGGGUUCCUGUCCAAGAGGCCGGCCAAUUCUAUGAUUCCUGGACCAGUUUCUGGACAAUCUGUGGCAUUGUGGGAUCCCUGUUGCCUGAGUGAAGGAGACCUGUGUGGAGAGGAUGAAAUGUCAAAGACUGGUCCAUGAGGGCGCUGCAGAGGCAGAGCGUUGAUGGUGGGAGGAGGACAGUCCCGUCAGAAAGGAUUGUGGUCGAUGAUUGCCAUUUGAUGUCAUAACAAAGGAAUGUUUGAAAGUCAUCUGCAAUCAGAGGUUGCAAUCAGAGGUCACAUGACAGAAGUCACAUGACAAGGAUUUUAGUCGAUGAUCACCUUUGAUGCCACAACGAAGGAGUGUUGAAUGAGCUCUAUUGGCAAUCAGAGGUCACAUGACAAGGUGUUGGCGUCAGCUGGUGGGUGCCUGUCACCGAUGUCUGGUCCUUCCAAGAUGCAUGAUGUCACCAACAGCUUCCUUUAUCAGGUAUCCGCAUCAGCUGAUGGGUCCCUGUCACCAAUGUCUGGUCCUUCCAAGAUGCAUGAUGUCACCAACAUUUUCAUUCAUCAGUUGAUUGCCUUUGCUGAAGGCAGGAGUCAAUCAUACGGAUGUCCAGAGGAGUUGGCGAAGGACUUGAGCUCACUUUAAAUGGAAAAGAUGAGAACAAUUUCUCAUUGUUAAACCUAAAACUACAAUUUCAGUACAAAAACUUAGUUUUUGGAAAGUUCUUUGAAUACCUAUAAGCUGCACAACCUUUUUUUUAAAAUUACGCAAAGAUUUACUUCCUGGAAAUUAAAAAUAACCAAAUCUGAUGGAGAUAAACUAUUACUAAGAGCUGAUUUUGUUUCAGUCCAUUCACAACACAUGCAAAAGCCAUGCAUGAGUCUAAUAUGAUGGUAAAAUACACCACACGUGAUCUUUUAAGACGAAUUGUGUAAUUGGCUCUUAAGGUAGCAUGCACGCACCAAUAUCGUUGUAGCAACAUGUAUACACAAAAAGAUGGUGGCAUUUUCCUGAGCUGAACGAUGCCUUUCAUUACAAAGGUACAGUAAUUACAACAUAACUAGUCCAUAUACAUGUAGCAUCCCUCAGUAUCGGAUGUUGACAAACAAGUUCUCUCGGAUUUGCCGAGGGAAUUAGUUUGUCAACUUCCAAUGCCUUGGUAAGCUAAUAUGGAUGAUCAAUAUGAAAACCGUUAUUAUUUAAUGACUUGACACUUGUUCGCCACUUUUAAAAUUUGAUCAGGUCAUUUCAAGAAUAAAAUAAGUAAAAAGGGACUUUGUUGAUGUCCAUUGUUUUUAUUUGUCUGACUUUCGUCACGUCUUGCAUUCAAUUUGGGAAAAUCACCGCCUCCUGAUACGAUACUCUUUUGAUAUCUCUUGAAGGUUGAAUGUUGUGAAUCGUUCAAAAACACAAAUUGAAAAGUAUUUUCAAUUCCGUGAGAAGACCUGCAUUUUGAUUCCUGUGUACAUUUUACAUUAACAUGAAAAUGGCGACUGCAAUGUACUGCAUGCUCUUAAAUUAAAGGAAAAUACCCGCAGAUGCAACUUUCAAACCGAGACUAAGUAAAAGACGCUAAAUGGUUGGAAUUUAUGGAGCAUAUUUUGGAUUGUGAGUCAGAUUUAAAAAGAACUGAGCCUAUAGUCCAAGGAACUCAACUCUAAACUGGAAACUUAAAAAGAACUGUGCCUAUAGUCCAAGGAACUCAACUCUAAACUGGAAACUUAAAAAGAACUGUGCCUAUAGUCCAAGGAAAUCAACUCUAAACUGGAAUUAGAGCAACAAAUUUAUACCUUUUUACUUGGAUAUUUCACUGGAAAGUUCUAAGAAUGUGCUGCCCUGCCUGAUAGUUUGCUACUCAGAGUUGGAGGGUUUUAAUUGCGAGUAUUUCUUGGCUUACCUUUACGAUUUCUGAGGGUUUAACAUCGUCAAAAUGUGUUGAUGGCAAAGUUACUUGUAAACCGCUUGAGACAGGUCACGUGACUCGUGAACCAAUAAUAAGGGGGGAGAGAGGGAGACUACGAAGCGAAUAGAAGACAUUUUUCAGCUGUGCUGUCAUUGCUCAUGCAAACAUUAAAUGAGGCAAACGGCUGCAAGGAAGACC